rnacentral:pre_miRNA from 1 species
UAGAGUUGACCGAAGUCAAACUUUGUAAAGUUUGACCAAGUUUGUAGAAAAGAAUAUAAAUAUUUACCCUAACAAAUCUAUAUGAUGCGAAAGUACGUUCAAUAAUGAAUGUAAUGGUAUUGAUUUGUUAUUGUACAUGUUCAUAUUUUUUACUAUAAACUUCGUCAAAAUUUACAAAGCUUGACUUUGACCAAAACUAA